rnacentral:rRNA from 1 species
UACGGGGGGAGCAAGCGUUGUUCGGAUUUACUGGGCGUAAAGGGCGCGUAGGCGGCGCGACAAGUCACUUGUGAAAUCUCUGGGCUCAACCCAGAACGGUCAAGUGAUACUGUCGUGCUAGAGUGCGGAAGGGGCAACUGGAAUUCUUGGUGUAGCGGUGAAAUGCGUAGAUAUCAAGAGGAACACCUGCGGCGAAGGCGGGUUGCUGGGCCGACACUGACGCUGAGAAGCGAAAGCAUGGGGAGCGAACAGG